CUGCUCUGUUCACUCGUCAGCGCAAGUGGCGUGACCAUGUAAUUGGGGCACGGGGCCGGCGCGGCGCGCUGCGGGCUUGCAGAAUUUUGUUUGUUUGUUUGGCCGCGCGCUGGCGCAGCCACGGGCCGCAGUUACUGGGGCGCGCUGUCGUAACAAGCCGCGCGGUGUGGCCUGCACAUCGGGGUAGAGGGGGGGUAGUCUUCCCAGAUGUUCUAGUUAGUUGUUUAGUAAAUUUGACUUCAAUAACGAGCUUUUGUUAUGGUAGGCGCGGCAGGGCGCGCGAAUUUAAGCGCAAGUGAGUGGUGACUCGGGGCUCACUCAGGCGGAGGCUAUGCGUCUCACCUGUGGUCACGAGUUGUUAGUUCGUUCGUGAUGUAGGAAUUCAGGCUCACUCAGGCGGAGGCUAUGCGUCUCACCUGUGGUCACGAGUUGUUAGUUCGUUCGUGAUGUAGGAAUUCAAGCUUUCGGGCGGCAGCUAUGGUCGACGCCAGAGGCCACGAGUCGUUUAAUUUAAGUUAGGUCAUAAUGUAGUCGUCAAGCUUUCGGGCGGAGGCUAUGGCCCUCGUCAGGGGUCACGCGUCAUAGUUUUUAAAAUGUAAUGUUCGUUCGGGAUUUCAAGGGCAGGAGAGGCCCCUACGUUAUUUUUUUAAAGUAAUCGAUCAAGAAAGGCUUUUCGGAAAAUGAGGCAGGUACCUGAGCGAGCCUUCCAGCGAGUCUGACUGCGGCCCCGCACGGGCGCUGACGUGACGCAAGCCACCCGCAAGGGUCUGUCAGGUGCAAGAUGUCUUCCCUGGCCCUGAGCCAGAGCCUGCAGGCAACGCUCAGGUGUCCCUCGUGCGAUAACUACAUGAGGGCUCCCAUCAGGCAGUGCGCCAGCGGGCACAGCGUCUGCGGCCCGUGCGUGUCGGAGAAGCCGGACUGCCCCCGGUGCCGGCGCAGCUUCAUCGAGACGAGAAACUUCGGGCUCCAGGCGAUAGCGGAGAGAGUGAAGCUCCCGUGCCCCAACAGCUGCGAGGGGUGCGUAGUGACGUGCCUGCAAGCCGACCUGGGCGACCACCUCGGCAACUGUGUCUACACGAAACACAGAUGCAAGGUACAGGUUUGCAAGUGGACCGGGCGACUUUCUCUGUUGUUGGAACAUGUUCAGAAACUUCAUCGGAAGCGAAACUGUAAUUGAGAUACCAAAAUCCUGGGCGACAGGUGGGAUGUUUUCCUUCUGCAAGCUUUCGACCAGCUGUUUUGGGUGCACAUUAAGCUUGAAGGUCAUAAUGGCAAAAUCUUGGCUAGUGUGCAAGGUUUGACCCCAGAGUGUUACAUGUAUGAGAUGAAGCUAGAGAUUGAUAAAAAUGUGAGUAUAUUUAGCUCGGCGACAGAAACUGCCAAUGCAGACAUGAACAGUAUCUUCACAAAAGAAUUUUGCUUCAGCAUGUCGACAAGGCUAGCAAAGAAUUUCAUAGUUGAUGACUGUAUCAUUCUUCAGGUCAAGAUAACUGGACUGCAUCUAACCUAAAAGUAUUCAACAAAAUGACAGUGAGGUAUAUUAAAGUACUUAAUGGCAUCGAACAGCUGAGUCAGAAUGUUCGGUGGUCUACACACACACACUUCUUUUGAACAAUGUGAUUCAGAUGUAACGUCUCGUUUCUAUAUAUUGCUUCCUUCGUGUAAUGUAAUUUGUUAUUGCAAUUGGACAAUUUUUCUUUUACUUCAGUGCUUAAAAAUUAAAUAAAAUAUAUAGGUAAGCUAAUUUCCUGCUUAGCGCAGUGUAUUAGACCGGACUGUGCUGUUACUGUUUUCAUAAUGCACAGAAAGUUAUGACUUAUUUUAAUGAUACUAUUAUUUAUAAAGUCUUAUUAUUUUGAUUGUUAUUAUUAUGAAAUUUUAUUAUUUAAUUUGUAUAUUGUUCGCCCGCGAAAGUUAUUUAAAUAUAUUUUUAUUAAUUAUGUAUAUCUACGAGAGCUAUGCUCUAUGACCUGAAAUGGACUUAUAUGGACAGUCAAUUGAGUAUACCCCUCUAAGGACUAAUGAACUUAACGAAUUAACGAUGAUUUUAUUCGGGGUAUUACUUAAAAAAAUUUUCAUUGUUGGAAAUUUUCGUUUUAAAUUUACCGCAUUUUUGUGUUUUCAAUUGUAUUAAUGAGUGUUAUUUACGGUAUUUAUAUUGUAAAUUACGCUAACCGAUUUUGGUUUCGACCAAUGAGAGGCCGUGUUUUAGAUGUGAGGCGUCUAGAACGUCUUAAUUAAUAAGAGUUUGGUUGUAUGAAGGCGUCUGAUGCCGACGCAAAGGCGCGAGGCCUAUUUUAAAUUUGAAAUAUAGCUAGCUAGAUUAUGCCAUCCGACACUCAGGAUGAGCUUAAACGACGUAUAAAUAAAUAAUGUGUAAGAUUAUAAGGGCAUAUUCUGACGGAUAUGUUAUUAGGAGUGAAAAUCUGUAAGUAAAGAUCUUGCAUUUUGUAUCGCCCAUAGACAUACCCAGCUGUAUGUAAUUUCGUCGUAAAUAACUCCGAUUUGACUACAAACUGAUUAGUUUUCACGUAAAAGGUGUCAAUUAUCCUGAACUACGUCAUGAAUUGUUAGUUCCAAGAUUUAAAUUAUUAUUUUAUUUUGUGAUACCCAGAGGUGAAAUGGGAGUACAAGUUUCGUGUCUCUACCAUAUAAACUGAGUUAAGCCAAGGCAAAUACGAACCCAAAUAUAAACAUAAAUAGUAAUCAUACUAAUUAAUUGUGCUAUGAUUUCAAACAUUUUUCUGUUAUGUAAGAAUACGUCCGUAAAAAUAUCAUUUGAUUGAUUUUCUAAACUUACACUAACGAACUUUUGUGAACGAUUCAUGUGUGCUACGUAUUUUCCUGAUGUUUAAUUUACAUAAGCGCAUAUCCACGAGUCAUGUUCAGUAUCGUUAGGAUUGUUUUUCUGUGAUUUUUAUCUAAUUAUAUUAAUAUUGAUUUUUAUCUCUACACCUAUGUUAGUUGUCCCUGAUGAAUAGCAAUUUUAUUAUUAAUAAAAAUCUGGAUUCUAUCCCUAUGUAUUGAUAUAAGUUACCUAGCUACCUGUGUCCUAGAGUGUGUGUUUUAUGAUAUAUAACAUUUUAUGCAUGUUUCUAAGGGUAUAACAGUACCAUUGACAUAUAUAUAUAUAUAUGUAUAUAUAUAUUUUUUUUUUUUUGAAAAAAUAGUGACAGCCAGUGUAUAUCGUCCCGACAACACACACACAACAAAAGGGUCUAUUUAUAAAUCAACGAGUACUAUUAAUGGUACUGGCGCCAGCAGUAAGCAUACACCAACAAGUUUAGCAGCAGUACAGUAGAGGACAGAUAUGAUUACAGUUAAAGAUGAAAGGAAUUAUUGUUUAAUAAAAAUUUUGUUGGCCAUUGUCAGGUAUGUAAAAGAGAAUGUGCUUAUUGUUUGCACAAUCUCAUGUAGGGAAGUCAGCUGCCCAUACAUAAACUUAUUCAAAGUUAUAAUAAAUCCAAUAGUGUUAUUUGGAUAGGCCAGCAUCCAAACUUAAGAAUCUGUUGUCAAUAUAAAAGUUUGUAUUUUCAUAAGAUAGGGUAGAUUAUGCAAUAAUCCGCUUAAGACACAAUUUUUAUAAUAAAAUUUUGUACAACAUACUUUUAUUAAUGAACUCGAAUACUACAAAUUGUCACUUUGUAAUUAAUGUUCUUGCAGAUCAUAAUAAAUUCUAUGUUGUUUUAUUGGAGCUACCGAUGUUGAAUUGUGAUGGUGUAGUGUCGACACAUGUAUUGCUUUAUUUAAUUAUGAAAAUAUUAAAUUUGGGAGCAUUGCUGUAUAUCAUCAUCCUUAUGUGAAUGAACUCAAAGUAAAUGGAAAUAAUUAUAUUUUUCCACACACUGUCCAGAAUCAAUGCAAACAAAAUAAUAAAGAUUUUGAAGUUAUAUUUGUAUGAAAACAGUGUUACACAGCAUCAUAGUAAUAAUAAAAGUAACCCUUCAAGAAGUACACAGAGCAGGGAAGAAACUCUACAAGCCACUACAGGAUUCUCAGUGUUUCUGAUGUAAAUCCAAUGGUGAGAAAUUGUCCUACAAAUGAAACUGAAAUUUUAAGGCAUUUGUCAUAUUCUAGUGUUCACUGUUUUGAACCUGUUAACUAAAUAAAACAUAGGUAGAAAC